rnacentral:rRNA from 1 species
AUACGGAGGGUGCAAGCGUUAAUCGGAAUUACUGGGCGUAAAGAGUACGUAGGUGGUUUAUUAAGUCAGAUGUGAAAGCCCCGGGCUCAACCUGGGAACUGCAUUUGAAACUGAUAAGCUAGAGUAUGGUAGAGGGGGGUAGAAUUUCUAGUGUAGCGGUGAAAUGCGUAGAUAUUAGAAGGAAUACCAGUGGCGAAGGCGGCCCCCUGGACCAAUACUGACACUGAGGUACGAAAGCGUGGGGAGCGAACAGGAUUAGAAACCCUAGUAGUCC